CGCGGGGUAGAGCAGUUGGUAGCUCGUCGGGCUCAUAACCCGGAGGUCAGGGGUUCAAGUCCCUUCCCCGCAA
rnacentral:tRNA from 1 species